rnacentral:rRNA from 1 species
GACGAACGCUGGCUGCGUGCUUAACACAUGCAAGUCGAACGGAAAGGCCCUUCUUUUUUGGGUUGCUCGAGUGGCGAACGGGUGCGUAACACUUGCGUAACCUGCCCUUGCCUCUGGGCUAACUUUAGGAAACUGGGGCUCAUACCGGUUAGUAGCUCCUGCUGCAUGGUUGGGGUUGUAACGUUUCGGCGGUUGGGGAUUGACUCGCGGCUUUUCAUCUUGUUGGUGUGGUAGUGGCUUACCAAGGCUUUGACGGGUAGCCGGCCUGAGAGGGUGACCGGCCACAGUGGGACUGAGAUACGGGCCAGAGUCGUAAGGGAGGCAGGAGUGGGGAAUAUUGCACAAUGGGCGGAAGCCUGAUGCAGCAACGCCGCGUGAGGGAUGACGGACUUCGGGUUGUAAACCGCUUUGGCCUGUGACGAAGCGUGAGUGAAGGUAAUGGGUAAAGAAGCACCGGCUAACUACGUG